UGGGGAAUAUUGCACAAUGGGGGAAACCCUGAUGCAGCAACGCCGCGUGAGUGAUGACGGCCUUCGGGUUGUAAAGCUCUGUCUUCAGGGACGAUAAUGACGGUACCUGAGGAGGAAGCCACGGCUAACUACGUGCCAGCAGCCGCGGUAAUACGUAGGUGGCAAGCGUUGUCCGGAUUUACUGGGCGUAAAGGGAGCGUAGGCGGACUUUUAAGCGAGAUGUGAAAUACCCGGGCUCAACCUGGGUGCUGCAUUUCAAACUGGAAGUCUAGAGUGCAGGAGAGGAGAGUGGAAUUCCUAGUGUAGCGGUGAAAUGCGUAGAGAUUAGGAAGAACACCAGUGGCGAAGGCGACUCUCUGGACUGUAACUGACGCUGAGGCUCGAAAGCGUGGGGAGCAAACA
rnacentral:rRNA from 1 species